CAGGCGGGGGUUUGUGUUUUCCGUUCCGCAGGGCUUCGCUUUGGCUACAGAUGCCACGGUCCCGCCUCUGAUUAGUGGUUGGAUCGGAGUUAGUUAGGUAGGGCCGGGCUCCUAAACCUCUUAAGCUGCCUCUACCUUUCCGUCUAAACUUCUAUACUGUAUACUGCUGCGUGCUGGGGACCCAAACCAGUUAAUCCUGGCCCUGCCCUGGGAGGUGCUCUCGUUGGUAAGAGGCGAUCACACACAGAAGCCGGCAGCAGUGCUAGGCCACGAGAGAACUCUCUGGCUGUAGAUCCAGAGGAGAGAGGUCCUUUUCUUGGGAUGGAGGCUGGGGACUGGAGGCUGGGCGCACUUCCCAGAGAGAUUAUUGCACAACAGAGAUGGAAUCAGAUAGACCCGGAGCCAGUUCUGGCCCUCCCUUUCUUGAACCUCAGUUUCCACAUCUGUACAAUAGGAAGAAUAACACUUAUUUUGUGAGGUGCUUUGAGAACUAAAUGAGGUAAAAUUUUAAAAGGUAAAAAAUAGCCGAGUAUAGUACGAGGCACAUAGAAAGUUUUCCAAAAUUAUUUUUGUUGUCCUGUGAUGAGUAGUUUUGUAGAUAGAGGGUGUGAGGAUAAGGCCUAAACUCUUAGAAAAGGCAGCAUGUUUGGGGCAGGGUUAGGGUACCUGGAAUGCUGAAGCUCAGACAGCUAUAGGAAAUGAUGCUGGGGCUAGAUCUUAGGAAGGUUCUUGACUGCCACCCUUGGGACAUCAGGGUGGGGAUAGCUUUGAGUGGGGAAAUGCAAGUGGUUGCAUGUUUUUAAGAGUCCUCCAGCCAUAGUGUGGGGAGAGACUGGAGGCCAGGAGGGCAGUGAGGAAGCUGCAGGAGGGACCCAGGUGAGAGAGAACCAUUCCUGAGCUCGGAUGGUGUGGAAGGAUGGAGGGAAGGCCUGGUUUGGAGAGAAGUGCAGAAGGAGGGGAGAUCGACUGGAAUGUGGUGGAACGACUUACUGGACGUGGAUGGUAAGAGCAGUUGUGAGGGCAACAAGCCUGUCAGUGAAAAGACGGAUUCCUUGGGGUCAGCUUGAGGAAGCUAGGUGUGGGCUCUCGGCAUAAGAUGAGAGGGAGUCUCUGCUGCUAAGGUCUUUACCAUCUCUUGUCAGAAGUCACAGUGCCAGCACAGCAUGCGACAAAUGCCACUGAUGGGACCUAGAAACCCUGCCAUUUGUUCAACCUAUUCAAGGUUACAGGAGUAAACCCUGAGAAAAAAGUCAUGGAACCCUAAGGCUUGAGUUGGCUAAGAAUAGAAGGAAAAGCAUCCCAGGUAGAGCAAGCAGGUGGUGAGGCUCUGAUGCUGAGAAGAGCUUGGUGCCUUUGUGGGAGAUGAGGGAAUGCUAGCAGCUUUCAGGUUUGUGGGAGACAUAGGGGUCAGCAAAGGCUGGGAUGUUGGAUCAGAUGUGAUGGAUUUCUGGGGAAAUAGCAGUGCAGCAAGGUGGAUGCUGAAGGUGCUAUGAAUCCUUCAAUCCUCUCCCCAGUGGUGUUUUGGGUCCCCUUGGAGGCAAGACUCCUACUGUCCUGGAGGUACCCCAAGUCAGUGUGUGGCUUGUGCGUACUCCAGAAAAGUCUCCUGUGGAGGAGGCGUUGGGCUGGAACACAUGGCCCAACCAGCUCCCUCAUAGUAUGGUCUGAGGUGCAGAGCAUGGGCUGGGAGGAAGGAGGCCUGCAUGCUGGCCUUUCUUGUCCCACCAACUUGCAGCAAUUCCUUGGGCAAGUCACCUUGCCAGCCCCGGUAGUUUCUACAUCCUGAAAUGGAGGUGGCGUUUCUUAGCUGGCUGACUGCCCUUGAGUAUUUGAGAAUCAAAUGAAAUCACAGCGUGUAAAAUGGUGUCACCACUAUGUUAUGAAAGUAAGCUUACUGAAAUGGCAAGACUUUGGAUCAAGAUGAAAGCUCCUUCAGAUCCCAAGUUCAUCUGCUUCAGCACAUUUUUUCCUAUGCACUUUCCUGGGCCUGGCUGUCACUGGGACACAGAAGCUGCCAUGCCCAAGACACCUGCGUAAGCAACUUGGUCCACUUUGACUUGGAUAGAAAACCAGACCCAGCAUUAGAGUAGCCAGAGAGGAUGUUUCUUGGCAGCUCUCGUGUCCUGGGACUAAUCUUUGCUGCUCCAGGAAUUCUCAAACUUGCCUGUGUAUCAGGAUCACCUGGAGGAUUUGGUCAAACACAGCUUGCUGGGUACCUCACCCAGAGCCCUGAUUCAGUAGAGUUUUGCAUUGCUAUCAAGUUCCUGAGUAGAUGCUAACACUGCUGCUUUGAAGCCUGCUCUCAGAAUCCCUGUUGAACUACUUUGUACUGAGGAGAUGACUGCAUCUCAGAGAAACUGCAGGAGGAAUCUGUCUUCUCUGGCAGGUGAUGGGAAGUGAUGUUCAGCUGAGAAAGCAGUAGGAGACUGGAGGCACUGAUGAGGUGAUCUCAUUCCUGUGUCCUCUCUGGGAGAGUUUGCACAUGAAGUCCCAGCAGAUGACCUCAAGUGUCACGUGUAGAGCAGAAGUCUACUAAUGAUAAGGGCAGACAUUUCAGAGGAUGACAUCUGGAGCUAAGUCAUCAUUACCUAUAAUCAGGUGAUGGAAAAUGUUCAUCUGUACAAGUUAUUCUUAGCUCACAGAUUGUUCAGACAUGGGCUGUAGUUUGCUGAUCCUGGUGUAGACACGGCUUGGCUAGAAGCAAUUGAGAAGCAAAGAGGAUCUCCCCUCCCCCACCACAAAGGAUCUGCAACAGCCUGCCACAACCUUGGGACACUACACUGCCUCCAGAGGGCUCAGUGAAAAUCAGCCUUAUUUGACAGACUCUAGGUUCAUCCACACUGCUACA